GACGAACGCUGGCGGCGUGCCUAACACAUGCAAGUCAACUUGACUGAAGGAGCAAUCUGACAGUAGAGUGGCGCAAGGGUGCGUAACGCGUAAGUAACUUGCCCAAGGUAAGGAAUAACGUCGAGAAAUCGGCGCUAAUACCUCAUAAUGCAGCGGAUCCGCAUGGAUAUGUUGUUAAAGGUUUACCGCCUUGGGAUAGGCUUGCGUCUGAUUAGCUAGUUGGUGUGGUAAACGGCACACCAAGGCUACGAUCAGUAACUGGUCUGAGAGGAUGAUCAGUCACACUGGAACUGAGACACGGUCCAGACUCUACGGGAGCAGCAGUGAGGAAUAUUGGGCAAUGCUCGAAAGAGUGACCCAGCAACGCCGCGUGGAGGAUGAAGGUAUUCUAUAUCGUAAACUCCU
rnacentral:rRNA from 1 species